rnacentral:rRNA from 1 species
UACGUAGGGGGCAAGCGUUGUCCGGAUUUAUUGGGCGUAAAGAGCGUGUAGGCGGCCAGGUAGGUCGGUUGUGAAAACUGGAGGCUCAACCUUCAGACGUCGACCGAAACCCCCUGGCUAGAGUCCGGGAGAGGAGAGUGGAAUUCCUGGUGUAGCGGUGAAAUGCGCAGAUAUCAGGAAGAACACCCGUGGCGAAAGCGGCUCUCUGGAACGGUACUGACGCUGAGACGCGAAAGCGUGGGGAGCGAACAGG